GAAAGAUCAACGAGCAUUCCUAAUCGAUUUAAUUCCCUGACAACAGCUUUUCCAAAACUCGAAAGCCCAUCACUCUGAAAAUCUGCAGGAGCUACUCUAUCUGGAUCUUCGACGGAACAAGAGUCUGCCCUAGUAUCGGUCAUAUAACGUGCACCAAGACGAUAGAAACUCCUAAGUACCGCCAUAGAAGUACCAAUACUGUGACCUCCCUCGAUCCCUACUAAACUAGCGAUAACCCCGUCCUUGUGAGCCUUUUCGAGUUCGCCACUCGUCGUUACCAGUCUUAUUUUCGUCGAAUAUUUCGAAGUGAGUCUUCGAACGACAUCAAUUUGUUCGAGAGUAAGUUGCACUGCAUCUAGAAAUUGAGCCUCGCAAGGGACGUAUGCUGACCAAAAUUGUGCGCCUACGAUACCUUGACGUAAACGUACAAGAUCGGUUUGCCAUUGAGGGCCCCAAGUAGAGUUUCUUGAGACGUCUUCGUCGAACGGAAAAUCUUGCAGUUUCGUAUUUCCUCGAUGUUUUCGUAAGUUCCAAGCGAAGUCGUUGUGACUAAAGAAAAUAUGUAAUUGUCAACUCAUCCCAACUUUUUUUUUUUUUUGCAUACCCAUCGAUCAAUGGAACUUCUGAAAGCAUUCUCCGAACGACCUGCAAUCUCGCUUCUAGAAGAUGAGAACUCCGAAGUUCCAAUCCCAAUGGUAAUCCUACGGCGACGACUAAGGCGCAUCCGAAAAAAAAGAUUCCUACCGUAAUUAUCCAUCGUCUCAUGCUACGUCCUGUCGAGGAAACAAAAAAAUGUUAAACGUAAAAGAUAACUGUAACUUUCGAAAUAUGUUGAAAAUCAUUCUUCGUCGAUAGCUUCCCAUAGGAAAAAGCUGAAUUUCCUCGUCAGCAUUGUUUUCGCAAUUGAGUAAUUCGUCGAACCGUAAAUAGAAAUCAUAUCAAAUCAAGAUAUUCUUUCUUAACCGUUACGCCAGUUUUUCGCGGAUUUUUUUACAGCGACAAUCCGCUAAAUGAAAAUCUUACUGGCGGGCUUAAUACAAAGCAAUGUGCUAUGUCGUGCAAAUCAAAACUCAGUGAUGUGCAAAAUAAGUAAAAAGAUUGCUCAAACUGAUUGAUAAUAUUCAUUACCAAGACUUACCAUUUUCUCUCGAAGCAUCUUUAUUUUUAUCUAAUGAAGUCGAAACAUUUUGCUCCUUAACGUGAUGU